UACUCAGUAAUGUGUUGUAUUGGAGAGUGGUACUCAGUAAUGUGUUGUAUUGGAGAGUGGUACUCAGUAAUGUGUUGUAUUGGAGAGUGGUACUCAGUAAUGUGUUGUAUUGGAGAGUGGUACUCAGUAAUGUGUUGUAUUGGAGAGUGGUACUCAGUAAUGUGUUGUAUUGGAGAGUGGUACUCAGUAAUGUGUUGUGUUGGAGAGUGGUACUCAGUAAUGUGUUGUAUUGGAGAGUGGUACUCAGUAAUGUGUUGUAUUGUAUAUGUCCUUGUUGUUGAUCCUUCCUCAGUUUUCUAUCACAGCCAUUAAACUCUGUCAUUAGGUUAGUAUUGUGGAGUAACUAUCAUGUUGUUGAUCCAUCCUCAGUUUCCUCCCAUCACAGUCAUUAAACUCUGUCAUUAGGUUGGUAUUGUGGAGUAACUAUCAUGUUGUUGAUCCAUCCUCAGUUUCCUCCCAUCACAGCCAUUAAACUCUGUCAUUAGGUUGGUAUUGUGGAGUAACUACCAUGUUGUUCAUCCAUCCUCAGUUUCCUCCCAUCACAGCCAUUAAACUCUGUCAUUAGGUUGGUAUUGUGGAGUAACUAUCAUGUUGUUGAUCCAUCCUCAGUUUCCUCCCAUCACAGCCAUUAAACUCUGUCAUUAGGUUGGUAUUGUGGAGUAACUACCAUGUUGUUCAUCCAUCCUCAGUUUCCUCCCAUCACAGCCAUUAAACUCUGUCAUUAGGUUGGUAUUGUGGAGUAACUACCAUGUUGUUCAUCCAUCCUCAGUUUCCUCCCAUCACAGCCAUUAAACUCUGUCAUUAGGUUGGUAUUGUGGAGUAACUAUCAUGUUGUUAAUCCAUCCUCAGUUUCCUCCCAUCACAGCCAUUAAACUCUGUCAUUAGGUUGGUAUUGUGGAGUAACUACCAUGUUGUUCAUCCAUCCUCAGUUUCCUCCCAUCACAGCCAUUAAACUCUGUAACUGUUUUAAAGUCACCAUUGGCCUCAUGGUGAAAAUCCCUGAGUGGUUUCAUUCCUCUCCUUCAACUGAGUUAGGAAGGACGCCUGUGUCUUUGUAGUGACUGGGUGUAUUGAUACACCAUCCGAAAUGUAAUUAAAGCUGCACCAUGCUCAAAGGGAUAUUCAAGGUCUGCCUUUCAUUUUGUACCCAUCUACCAAUAGGUGCCCUUCUUUGUGAGUCAUUGGAAAACCUCCCUGGUCUUUGUGGUUGAAUCUGUGUUUGAAAUUCCCUGCUGGACUGAGGGACCUUAAAGAUAAUUAUAUGUGUGGGGUACAGAGAUGAGGUAGUCAUUCAGAAAUCAUGUUAAACACUGUUAUUACACACACAGUGAGUCCACUCAUUAUGUGCUCCUGAACUUGCCAAAACAAAGGGGUUGAAUACUUACCUAUUGACUCAAGACAUUUCGGCUUAAUUUGUUUGAUUUCUUUGUAAACAUUUCUAAAAACAUAAUUCCAUCUUGACAUUAUGGGGUGUUGUGUGUAGGACAGUGAUGACAAAUCUCAAUUUAAAUCCAAUUUAAAUCCAUUUUAAAUUCAGACAAAAUGUGGAAAACCUCAAGGGGCGUGAAUACUUUGAAGGCUCUGUAAGUCCUCGUGUCCUCGGUGUUGUU